rnacentral:lncRNA from 1 species
UUUCAUUCAUAUCUCCUCUUACAUUCUCUCCAGUCCUUGUAAUCGAGAACAUUGCUACAAUCUCUUUUUAAGUAAGUUUUUAAUAAAUAAAGUUUUAAUUAUAUUUUUCUUGUUUCAUUUUCUCGUUUUAGUAUUAUGCUUUAUGUUUAAGUGGCUGGUCUAACCGCCCAUAUUUCUGUUUUAUUUUUAAGUUAUAUUUCAAUCUGUAUCAUAUAUGUUUUAAUUUACUUUUUAUUAUAAAUGUUUAAUUAUGCUUUCUCCACGAUCGUUGUCUGAUGGUAAAUCUUUUUUCUUUUUUUAUUUAUUUAUUAAAAACUCUAUUUGAUAUGCAGAUUUUUCAGAUCUGGAAGACUUCUGGGACGACUUACCUGUUAGUCGUCUAAAAUAUAAUGCACUAGUUGUGGAGGAAUGAUCUAUAAUAGUUUUGUUUGUGGUAUGUUUUGUGAUUUGCAUGUCUACUCUUUUAGUUGUGAUUUUUUUUGUAAAAUCAGUAAUAAUGUGUCCCAAGAUGUAAUACAUGUGCUAACAAUGUGUUUACACAUUUACAAAUCAAUGAAAUAAUAGACUUCAAUAGCCUUUUUCUUAUCUUUGGAUCUCUCAUAUGCAAUAAUAAACUCCAAUGACUUUUUUC